rnacentral:rRNA from 1 species
UACGGAGGAUGCAAGCGUUAUCCGGAAUGAUUGGGCGUAAAGCGUCCGCAGGUGGCAAUGUAAGUCUGCUGUUAAAGAGUCUAGCUCAACUAGAUAAAAGCAGUGGAAACUACAUAGCUAGAGUACGUUCGGGGGCAGAGGGAAUUCCUGGUGUAGCGGUGAAAUGCGUAGAGAUCAGGAAGAACACCGGCGGCGAAAGCGACUCUCUGGUCGGAUCCUGACGCUGAGGUGCGAAAGCUAGGGGAGCAAACGGG